rnacentral:piRNA from 1 species
UCCCAAAGUCCAUGGUCCUGG